AUUUAUUAGAUGAAGAAACACACUCUCAAAAAAUGACAAUAUUUUGGACCAUCGGAGAUGUAACGUUCAUACAAGACCAUCUUUAGAAGAGAGUUUGGAGAGUGUUAUUAGUGGUGCAGCUCUGACGGGAGACUCUAGUUAUGCUAAGCGAUGAUGGGCGAGAAAGAAUUGUAGCUGAAUAUAACGCGAGAAACCAGGCUUUCAUACCGCGUACGGUUACUUGGAUAACGGAAUGGCAUACGUCGUAAGUCCGGUGUUAGGGACAAUUUAUCCAAUCCCAGUGCAAGCUAGUAAGAGUAGUUAUAGUUCGACCUCAUCACUGGCAAAUCACGCGACUCCACAUUCACAGUCGGCCGGUGUGAAUAAUAGUUCUGUACCUCAACUACUGAACUAGAUCCAGAUAUUAAAGCACAAAGAAAGACGAAGAGGAGACAAACGAAUAACGCGACAGAGAGGAUACGAAUUCGUGUUAUUAAUAAAGUUUUAAAAGAGCUGGCAAGGAUGUGCAUGGCGCACCUAAAAACGGACAACCCCAAACGAAGCUCGGUACUUUAAAUAUCGUCGUAGAGGUCACCAUGACGCUGGAGGAGCAAGUCCGAGAACGAAAUUUGAAUCCCAAAGCUGCUUGCAAGAAUUGGCUUUAUCCUACGUUACCGGGUGGCAGGUGCUUUUGCCAAUUUGCCUCACAAUCCAGGACACAAUGGCACUGCUAACGCGGCAGGUCUGCCACCUGCACAUAAUUUUUCAUACAAACGGUUCUCAUUUGUUCAUCAAGCAUACAAGUUAUAUUAUAUAUUUUUUAUGAAUGUUCUGUAUUGUUGGCUCUGAUUUUGAUCAACAAAGUUGUAAAGUAACUAUUGAAACUCCGCCACUCACUCAUUCCAUCUUUUAAGUAUUGUUUAAACUGUGACAGCAAAUUUGCAGAUCUGGCUGAGAUUCAUGAAGUAUUUAAUAUUGGAAGAAUAGGAUUAGCUUGUAGGUAAAAUUAAUGUAUAUGAUAUUAUUAAAUAUUGAUACACCUGUUAAAAUUUUGUAAUCAUGUAUACUUAAUCCUAGAAAGGACAAAAUUGCUUCUUGGUUCUGCAAUAAACGUCUAAAUAUAUGUUUAAUUAAGUUGCAGUACCUGCAUUUUAAAUGCCCAUUCAUGUCUUCGA